ACAUCAAAUCAAAGAUUUUUUGUGACUAAUGAAAAUAACUUUGUUGCAUACUUCAUAGUUUAGACUUUGAUACCUUUUGGUAAGGCUGUUGGAUUUUUCUUUUUCUUCUUAGACUUCUCAGUCAAAGAAACAGAAAGUGCCAAGAAUGUGAAACAGCCUGGAAAUAUUUUCUCCUCCAUCAAGAAACACAACAUGUCCUUUCAAAGCUUAAUUGAGCAGCACAGAGCUAAUUAGCUGUCCGAAGACAUGCCAUUUAAUUCACUACCCAGCAUUAAUUUGUUCUACAGACUGAGCUUAUCUCAUAUAUAAAUGCCUUUGCCCUGUGGCUUUCCAAACAGCUGCAAUAUACAAAAAAGACUGAUAACUCUGUCAUUUAAAUGUUGCUUGCUUCCUUCACUUCUGCAUAAAAUACUGAAUUGCAUGUGAAUUGUAACUGGAAAGUUUUCAUGGUCACAAUGAAAAAAUAAUUUGUUUUUAUUUCCUUUUAGCUGGAAAUGAUGUUAUCACUCUGGGAUUGAAAAGCCACCAUUUGAGGUUUGCACUAGAUUAUAAUUUGCAAUUUGCUAAUCUAAUGUGGAAUUUUGAUAGUAUGUUGAAUGAAUAGUUUCAAAGCUUUUUGAAGAGGAAAAAUUAUACACUUGGUCCUUAAAACAUGUUUGUAGUAAGCUGGUUUUUUUUUCCCUACAAAUUUUUCUUUGAAGAUCCACGUCAAAGAAUUUGGAGAUGUUUAUGUGGGACCCUAGGCUUUCCCCAGGCUCUGACACAUUCUCAAGAUCCAGCCUCCAUCAGAGCUUCAUUUCUGGGAACACUAAAAGCUAAAGGGACAGAGCUGCUGCUUACUUGGGCUGCCAAAGACUGGGAGCAGGGAAGGAGAAUGUGAAAAAGGGGAUGAAUGAGAUAAAAAAGAAGUAUUACAGAAAGGGCUGGAAGAGACAACUGUGUUAAUAGAGUACUUUUGCCAGCAUAAAAGAACUUUUGCUAGUGAAGUGAGGUGCAACUUCCCAAAAUCUAUCCCUAAUCCAUACCAAGUGACUAGGGAUAGGAAAUAUUUAUCUCUUCUAUCAACAUUUUUUUGUGCAAUCCUGCGUCACAAAUGACUUGCUAAAAUGGUCCAUUAUGGUCGGUGACCAAGGAGUGGAUAAAAUCUGCUGCCUGAUUUAUAGGAAGCUAUGGGCACUGUCCUCUCAACCUCAGAUUCAUGCAUUGCAGAUGCAUGCCUGUAUGAGGCUUCUAGGGCAGGCAUCAUUCAUCCAGCAACUGAUCCUCAGCAUAAUCAGGUCCUGAGCUCUGCUUCCUCCGUUGCCUUACCAACCUAAGGUGAAGGUUGUGCUCCUCUCGCUGACCCUGUGCAAGUGAGCAACUGCAUCCCUCUCUCCUGAAAGACAGAAGUGACAAUCCAGUUGUUAGCUGCUCAUUGUGCAAAUGGAAAAGACUAUUUUUAUCUAGCUGAAAGAUAGAGGAUGAAGUGUCACCUUCCUGGGAUGACAGGUGGUAAGACAAACAGUCCAACCACAGACAGUUUUCCUGGGAACAUGAUCUGCUCGUGCAUAUUGAUAUUGGCUUAUUGAGCUGCUGAUCACCUCUUUUCGCUGCAUGGACUGUGGCAGCUCUGAGUGUGAGGCACCGGGUGCGUAGCUGGGAAAGGGCUUUCCUGCUGCUAGUAUAAGUGCUUUGGGGAAGUUGUACACACUAUGCACUUUGUCUUACUGCACAAAAAAGAAAAGUGGUGAUAAAAUGUGAAACAUUUGUCAAAUCCUGAUAUAUUAUUGUUUGUGGGUGAACAGCUUAUGACUGCUUUGCAGGUCAAGUAUUAAGAACAUUCAGCCUUGAUUUUUUUUUUUUAUUUAAUUUACUUUGUGUUUCUGACUAAUUUUUUGUCUUUUAAAUACUUGGAGAAUGAGUUAGAAUUAUUACUAUUUAUAACUAUUUCUAUUUCAGGAAAGUUUGGAUUAUCUGUUUUAUUGCAACUGAAUUAGUUCCUUUUUGUUUCCGAACUGUGUUAUCUACAUAAAUAACUUCACAGCACAUCCUCAGUUGCAGCAGUCCUUCAUUUUGGCAUCAACUUUAAUAUCAUUAUUUAUUCUUAUCUAUUACGUUCAGUGUGAGAUUAAGGAAAGGUUUAUUUUUUUAUUAAGUGGCAAUAGUUACUGCUGAUGGGUGACAAUUUACAACUCUGUUACCACUAAGGAAAAAAACCCACCUUUUGUUUUUGUUA